rnacentral:rRNA from 1 species
ACGAUUUUAGAGGAAGGAGAAGUCGUAACAAGGUUUCUGUAGGUGAACCUGCAGAAGGAUCAUUUGCACAUGUGUAGCCAACUGCAUGCUAAUGAUAUUGUGGGCAACUGUAAGCAUGUAUUGCAAUGGGCUUGCACUUGCCCUGGGCAGCAUGAUUUGUUGUUCAAGCAUGUGUGCUGUAGUGUGUGAUGUGUUUUGUAAACUGUUUGCAUUUCUCUAGUUGCUGCAACAAUUAUGUUUUGCAAGGAAUGUCGUAGCUCAAUAAAUGAUGAAGAAUGCAGCAAAAUGCAAUAUGCAUUGCGAAUUGCAGAAUUCCGUGAGCUAACAGAUGUUUGAAUGUUACUUGUACCUUUGGGAUAUUCUUGAAGGUUUGCUUGGUUUAAUGCAAAGUAGCUUUCAUAUACAUUUAAUGCUGAUUAGCAUUGUUGUGAACAAUAAAGGUCAAUGUUUUGCAUUGAACCUGGAUGUCAUACAGUUGUUUACAACCUAAACAUGGUUUCGUGGGGCAGACCUGUUUCGUCAUUUGAUGGUUGAUAUUUGUAAAUGUGUACAACUGGGACAAGCUGAAGACUUGCAUAUGCUAAGCGUGAAGUGAAGCACAUAAACCUGCUGAAUUUAAGCAUAUAAGUAAGUGGUGGAAAUUAAACCAAU